UGCUGUGGCAGUAAUUGAGGUUAGUACGAGAGGAACCCCUGAUUCACGUAAUUGGUGUUGGGCUUGGCUGAGCAGGCAGUGGCCCGAAGCUAUACGUGUGGGUUUAGGGCUGAACGCCUCUAAGUCCGAAACCCUGCUGGAGGCGGCGUCAAGUUUG
rnacentral:rRNA from 16 species